CUUUAUCUGCAAAAUGCACAAUUGAGCUUUAAAACAGCUCCGCGCUGAAAAACGCACUGUAAACAACUGUUUGCAAUGAGAGUUUUACACUGUCUUUAAAUACAACAAACUAUCACAUAAAAUUUACUUGCCCUCCCUAAUAAAGCAAAAUCUGGGUUGCCUGUCGGUGAGAGAUUUUAAAAUUUUUUAUUCCUUUCCUCUGUCUGGAUUUAUUUUUAAGGGAAGAUGUCACGAGUCAUUAGGUCUCUUAACUUUGGUCAUUUUUGCUGCAUUUUCAGCUCCCCAGACAAUCUGCCUAUCCUGCCAGUCCCUUGCUAAAAUGUGUUUCAUCUCAGCAAAGAGUUGCUUCAAAUAAACAUACAAUGUGCUCCUUUUCAAGGUUCUUUUCCUAUUUGGGUAACAUUUUACAGGUUCUGCUUGUAUUUUCCCUUCGUAACAUGUCACAGACUUACAGGACUUCCUAUUUACUAAAAUUUGUAUUUAUUUUCUUUCCAGCUUACUACUCUUUUAAAAGUCCACGUUUCAUUUCUCUAUACAUUGGGUGAUUAACCAUCAAAGCUGGCUUCUGCCAGCCUGAGUAGCAAAAGGUGACAGUUAAAAGACCAUAUCAAAGCAGGUGUUUUGUUAAACACACAGUUCUUUAAAACAGCUAUGAAGAACUUGUACUGUUGUAAAACUCAUUUUCUCUCAUGCUAUGGAAUUCAUAUUGUAUUGUUUUUGCUUAGGUGCAUCAUAAAUGCAUAUACCCUGCACACGUAUACAGCCACACUUACGCAUGCAAUUUUUUUUGGUGAGGGAAAAUAUCAAAUUGGGUUCUGCAAAGAGGAGAGGAGGAUGGAAUCAAAUUUGGGGUCUCCCAGCUGUAAUACUCUGUUUAAUUGCCAGUCUUAACAGGAUGAGCACUGGAACAUGUCUGGACAGAUCCAGGCAGCUGGUGAAAACUCAUGAAUUCUCUGCAGCACAGAAGGGAGCAGGUUUGCAUUCAGGCCACUGAGAGGACGGAGGCUGCAUCACAGAGGAGGCCGUGGGAGGUCACAGGUACGGCCUCUCCUGACUGUACAAAGAAUUCCGCAAGCUGUGUGGUCAGAGUGCCAGGGACAGCCAAGAACGGCUGUCAUCGUUCCAGGUGGAGCUGACAGACUGUUUCCGAAGCGCCCACCUGCGCGUGCGCCCCCUCUUCCCAGCACAGGCUAGAGAUGCGCAGAAUCCUAACCACAGCCACUGUUUCCUGCCUCAACUAGCCAUGCCCUAAAAGAAACAAAUGCAUCGCCCCAGAAUUCUUAUAAAGUUACAAUCAUCCCCUUAUUAUUUUAAUUUCCUUUUCCUUCAACUUAAAUUUUCAUUUCGGGUAUUUCCUACACAACACAGAAGUCACGUUCUGGAUAGAAUUAAAAGGAAAUUGACUUGGGGUUCAGGGUGAACGUUUUUUGUCUUAUUUUGCUUCUUAGUAACCGAAAGUGAAGCCUGAAUAAUGAGAAUAUUAUUAAUCCAUCUCCACUUCUCCACUUUAAAGUCACAAGGUAGAUUUUGGUUCCAGUUGGUAUUACUUUAAUGAGAGUAAUGAAUAUUCCGUGUGAGGGCAGCCGGUACGGGAAAGUUCUAUGAGUCCUUGUGUUUUGUUUCGGUUUUGAGGAUUAAAUGCAAGUUUAAUCCUUUAAUGAAUAUAUAAGUCUGUUGAUGCCCUUUCUUGAGGAAGCUGUGGUUAAAUUAUUGUGUCAAAUUAUCGUAUUUCAUUCUAUCUCCAGUGUGGGGGUCGUAUAGAGAGGUGGUGGGUAGAGCUGGGGGCGAAUAUGUGUGUUUUUCUUAAGUGACUGUCAUUUGGGAACAUAUAAGGAUUCCAAAGGUUAAUGUGGAUUAAAAUGCUGUCUGCCAUGAACUUUAGAAAUUGAAAUAAAUGUGGUUGGUAAAAGAAGAUCUGUGUUUUGAUUACAUGGAGAUGCUUUUGUAGGCCUUUUCUUUCAGGUGCAGUAAACAUCUUAAAAAUAAGCACAAUAAAUAUGUUUCUAAGCACGGUGCAUUGUAAUUGUAAUUAGCUCUUCCUCCUUUAUGAGGUUGCAUGCAUCAGAUUACGUCUAAUUACUCCCAAGCACUUUGCUGCUUUCCUAUUUUUGUGAAAAGUCUCACAAUACAUCUUUACAACCAUAAAGACACUCAUUUGCUUAUACUGAGGCCUUUAUGGGCAACUCGCUUUCUUUUUAUUUGAGGGGAAAAAUUAAAGGUGAGCAUCAUUAGGAAUCUCUCUUUAAACCCAGUAAGCUCUCUAUGCACACCGCAAAGAAUCAAUGCCCGGUAGGCGGGCUGGAGUUCUGCAAUACGUUCUUGCAUUUGUAGACUUUUCUUUCACCAGGUAGCUGGUAAUGCCAUAGAAAUUGAUUAUUUGAGAUGUUCUCAUCAUGGUUUAAAACAUCUCAUUGCUUUUCCUCCACAGAUUUG
ensembl:lncRNA